CAUUACCUGCCCUGUAGGUGAUAUAUGAAAAAGUUGAUCCGGCAAAUUAGAUCUUUCGGGAGCCAGUGUAUGCUGCUGGUGUGCAUGUUGCCUUUUUGGCAAAAGCCUGAAGGCAGCAUUAUGGCACCCACCUAUAUCAAAAUAGGCGGAUCUGAUUUUUCAUGUACACGACAGGGCGGGAACUCA
rnacentral:other from 1 species